CACAUGAUGUUUUGAUUGAACAAAGCAUAUGGCGGAGUUUCUCGAUGAGGAGCACUUUUUCGCUGAGG
rnacentral:snoRNA from 1 species